rnacentral:rRNA from 1 species
UGGUCAAGUUAUUAAGGGUGCAGGGCGGAUGCCUUGGCACUAGGAGCCGAUGAAGGACGUGAUAAGCUGCGAUAAGCUUCGGGGAGUUGCACGUAAACUUUGAUCCGAAGAUUUCCGAAUGAGGAAACUCACUUAGAGUAAUGUCUAAGUAUCAUUAAGUGAAUACAUAGCUUAAUGAGGGGAACUCAGGGAACUGAAACAUCUAAGUACCUGAAGGAAGAGAAAGAAAUUCGAUUCCGUAAGUAGCGGCGAGCGAACGCGGAUUAGCCCAAACCAAUAAAGUUUUCUUUAUUGGGGUUGCGGACAUAUCAUAACGAAGAGGUAUCGUAAUUGAAGAGGUUUGGAAAGACCCACCACAGAAGGUAAUAGUCCUGUAUGUUAAACGAGAAGACUUUAGAUAUGAUCCAGAGUACCACGGGACACGUGAAACCCUGUGGGAAGCAGGAGGGACCACCCUCCAAGGCUAAAUACUACCUAGUGACCGAUAGCGUAUAGUACCGUGAGGGAAAGGUGAAAAGAACCCCGGGAGGGGAGUGAAAUAGAACCUGAAACCCUGCACUUACAAGCUGUGGAAGCACAUUUCUUGUGUGACCGCGUACUUUUUGUAGAACGGGCCAACGAGUUACGUUAAGUAGCAAGGUUAAGCACUUAAGGUGUGGAGCCGUAGCGAAAGCGAGUUUUAACUGAGCGUUCAGUUACUUGACGUAGACCCGAAACCGGGCGACCUACCCAUGAGCAGGAUGAAGCGAAAGUAAAAUUUCGUGGAGGUCCGAACCCACGAGCGUUGAAAAGCUCGGGGAUGACUUGUGGGUAGCGGUGAAAUUCCAAUCGAGCCCGGAGAUAGCUGGUUCUCCCCGAAAUAGCUUUAGGGCUAGCCUCAAGGUGAGAGAUACGGAGGUAGAGCACUGAAUGUCCUAGGGGGUAUUGCACCUACCGAAGACUAUCAAACUCCGAAUGCCGUCAUCUUAUACUUGGGAGUCAGACUGUGGGUGAUAAGAUUCAUAGUCGAAAGGGCAACAGCCCAGAUCGUCAGCUAAGGUCCCUAAAUGUAAGUUAAGUGGUAAAGGAUGUGGGAUUGCACAGACAACCAGGAUGUUGGCUUAGAAGCAGCCACUCAUUCAAAGAGUGCGUAAUAGCUCACUGGUCGAGUGAUCCUGCGCCGAAGAUUUCCGGGGCUAAAACUUACUACCGAAGCUACGGCAUCAGUAAUGAUGGGUAGGGGAGCUUCCCAUACGGGUUGAAGCAUGACCGUAAGGACAUGUGGACAGUAUGGGAGUGAGAAUGUUGGCAUGAGUAGCGAGAUGUGGGUGAGAAUCCCACAGGCCGUAAACCCAAGGUUUCCAGGGGAAGGUUCGUCCGCCCUGGGUUAGUCGGGACCUAAGCUGAGGCCGAAAGGCGUAGGUGAUGGACAACAGGUUGAUAUUCCUGUACUACCGAUAACCGUUUGAGAGAAGGGAUGACACAGUAGGAUAAGCUAAGCACACUGUUGGUUAUGUGUGCCCAAGCAUUGAGGCAGUCAAAGUAGGCAAAUCCGCUUUGAUAAUGCUGGGAUGUGAUGGGGAGCGAAAUUUAGUAGCGAAGUAGCUGAUUUCACACUGUCAAGAAAAGUCUCUAUCGAGGUUAAAGGUACCCGUACCGCAAACCGACACAGGUGGGUGAGGAGAGUAUCCUAAGGCCAGCGAGAGAACUGUUGUUAAGGAACUCGGCAAAAUGACCCCGUAACUUAGGGAUAAGGGGUGCCACCAUCAGGUGGCCGCAGAGAAUAGGCCCAAGCGACUGUUUACCAAAAACAUAGGUUUCUGCUAAGUCGCAAGACGAUGUAUAGGAGCUGACGCCUGCCCGGUGCUGGAAGGUUAAGGGGAUCUGUUAGAGCAAUCGAAGCAGUGAACUUAAGCCCCAGUAAACGGCGGCCGUAACUAUAACGGUCCUAAGGUAGCGAAAUUCCUUGUCGGGUAAGUUCCGACCCGCACGAAAGGCGUAACGAUUUGGGCACUGUCUCAACAACAGACUCGGUGAAAUUGUAAUUCCGGUGAAGAUGCCGGAUACCUGCGACAGGACGGAAAGACCCCAUGGAGCUUUACUGUAGCUUGACAUUGGGUCUUGGUACUACAUGUACAGGAUAGGUGGGAGGCUUUGAAACCAGGACGCCAGUUUUGGCGGAGCCAUCCUUGGGAUACCACCCUUGUAGUACUGGGACUCUAACCAUAGGCCAUGAAUCUGGUCUUGGGACACUGUCAGGUGGGCAGUUUGACUGGGGCGGUCGCCUCCCAAAAGGUAACGGAGGCGCUCAAAGGUUCUCUCAGUACGGUCGGAAAUCGUACGUAGAGUGUAAAGGCAAAAGAGAGCUUGAUUGCAAGACAUACAGGUCGAGCAAGGAUGAAAAUCGGACUUAGUGAUCCGGUGGUUCUGCGUGGAAGGGCCAUCGCUCAACGGAUAAAAGCUACCCUGGGGAUAACAGGCUUAUCUCCCCCAAGAGUCCACAUCGACGGGGAGGUUUGGCACCUCGAUGUCGGCUCAUCACAUCCUGGGGCUGUAGUAGGUCCCAAGGGUUGGGCUGUUCGCCCAUUAAAGUGGUACGCGAGCUGGGUUCAGAACGUCGUGAGACAGUUCGGUCCCUAUCCGUCGCAGGCGUAGGAAAUUUGAGAAGACCUGUCCUUAGUACGAGAGGACCGGGAUGGACGUACCUCUGGUGUACCAGUUGUCCUGCCAAGGGCAUGGCUGGGUAGCUAUGUGCGGAAUGGAUAAGCGCUGAAAGCAUCUAAGCGCGAAGCCAACUUCAAGAUAAGAUUUCCCACCGCAAGGGUAAGACCCCAGAAAGACUAUCUGGUUGAUAGGUCGAAGGUGUAAGUGCAGCAAUGUAUUUAGCUUAUCGAUACUAAUAGGUCGAGGACUUGACCAAU